AGUCACUGACAUUAGACUACCCGCGUAGUCCCAGCCGUAAACUAUGCGCGUUAGGUGUACUGGUGACCACGAGUCACCGGGGUGCCGAAGGGAACCGUGAAACGUGCCGCCUGGGAAGUACGGUCGCAAGGCUGAAACUUAAAGGAAUUGGCGGGGGAGCACCACAACAGGUGGAGCCUGCGGUUUAAUUGGACUCAACGCCGGGAAGCUCACCGGAUAGGACAGCAGAAUGAUUGCCGGGCUGAAGACCCUGCAUGACUAGCUG
rnacentral:rRNA from 1 species